CGUGACACGUUGUUUAUGUUAGUACUUUAAUAUAGAGAAUUCAACGAAGUCAUACAACAAGGGAUGAAAGUAGAAAGAAAUGCUUCAGACUUAAAUUUCUUUUAAGUAGAAAGACGAUUGUUUCUUACUUAUCUUUUGGGUUUAAGUUGUGCGGUUAAUUGUUUCUUCCAUUGACUUUUGCUGUGAUAAAAGAGCAUAGUAUCACAAGUUUUGAGAGCCAGCUCAUUAGAUCAACUCAAGCACUAUGGCACAAUAUUAUUAUUAAAACAAGCAUAUCUCAAUGAGAUGAACCCAUGGAAAGGUAUUUCUUCAAAAACCAAAUACAAGGUGAAUCAGGUAAUACUUCUAACCUAAAUUCAAUCUUUAAUAUUCAAUAUUUAAAUAUGAGUAUCUCACACCUGGAGCUCAGAGGAGUUAAUCCCUUUUUGAUUCGAGGCCUUGGGAAGUUUUACUUAAGGAGAACGGUUUUGAUUGGAGAAAGACUUGAUUUGGACUUGGAAUAUUGACAAGUUGACAGAUCAAGAAUUUGAAGUCCGACGAAUCUGUUCUUGAAGAAAGUGCGGAGCAAAUUGAAACACAACAGUAUUUUUGUUUUGUUAGUGGUGGUUUAAAGAUGUUGGCAUUUGUACAUUCUACUAUAGUUCUACUGUCUCUCUCUGUUUGUAGAGUUGAUAAAAGUAGUGUCAUGCUGCUUGGAUAGGUAUAUUUUCCGACAGCGUGUUCCUUUGUAAUUAACAAUGAAACAUUAAUGAGUUCUAAUUAUUUUGUAUACUUUGA